GAAGCCGUGUGUGCUGGAGUGCCGAUGGUGGCGUGGCCGCUGUACGCAGAGCAAAAGUUCAAUAGGUUGAUGUUGGUUGAAGAAAUAAAAAUUGCUUUGCCAAUGAAGGAAGACGAGAACGGGUUUGUAACUGCGUUGGAGGUGGAGAAGCGAGUUAAUCAGUUGAUGCAGUCGGAAUCCGGUAACUCAGUUAGGGAGCGAACCAUUGCUAUGAAAAAAGCAGCCAAGGCAGCAGUGAGUGAGGGUGGUUCCUCGCGUUUUGCAAUGUCUAGACUCGUUGAGUCAUGGAAGCGUUAAUGAGU
rnacentral:misc_RNA from 1 species